CAGCUAGGCCCCUCUUCUGUAGGGUUGCUGCAGUUUGCUGGGGGUCUACUCCAGACCCUAUUCACCUGGAUCCCUCCUGCACCUGGAAGUGUCACCAGUGGAGGCUGUAGAACACCAAAGAUGGCUGCCUGAUCCUUCCUCUGGGAGCUCAAUCUCAGAGGGACACCAACCUGAUGCUGGUGGGAACGCUCCCGUAUAAGAUUCCUGACAACCCAUGUUGGGGGAUCUCACCCAGUCAGGAGGCUUGGGAUCCGAGGCCUGCUUAAAGAAGCAGUCUGGCUGCCCCUUGGUGGAGUGGGUGCACUGCACUGGAGGGACUCCUCUUUGUCCAAACUGCCCAGCCUCUUCAGAACCAGCAGGCAGGAAAGAUUAUGUCUACUGAGUUGUGGAGAUCACAGCUGCCCAUCCCCCUAAGGACUCCAUUCCAGGGAGAUCAGAGUUCUGUUUGUAAACCUCUGGCUGGAGUUGCUGAAAUUCCCACAGGGAGGCCCUGCCCAUUGACGGGGAAUGGAUCUGGGUCCCACCUAAAGCAGCAGUCUAGCCAUGAUCUGCCACAGCCACUGUGCUGUGCUGUGGGAAAUUCCUCCUGGUUCAAACUACCCAGUCUUCCCCGCACCAGCAGAGGAAAACGGCAGACUGGAGCUGCAGUGAUGGUGGCCGCCCCUCCCCCUAGGUACUCAGUUGUCUUAGGCAGUCUCUAGCCAGCUGCCACUAGCUGCAACCUGAGCAUCUGGACAGCUCUGUACUUGGGACCCAAGGCUCUGGUGGUUUGGGCUCAUGAGGGGAUUUCCUGAUCUGUGAGUUGCACAGAUCUGUGGAAAAAACAUGGUUUUCCAGGCAGGUAGCACAAUCAGUCACUGCCUCCCUUGGCUGGGGAUGGGAGCUCCUCUUGCCCCAUGGUGCUCCUGAGUGGUCCAUCGCUCCACCCUGCUUUUCCCGACUCUCCAUGGGUUGUGCCAACCACCUAGUCAGUCUCAAUGAGAGAACCUGGGUACCUCAGCUGAAGGUGCAGGAUUCACUCACCAUUUUCAUUCUUCUCAGUGGGAGCCACCAAUGGCAGCUGCUUCUAGUAGGCCAUCUUUCCACUUUGCUGGUAAUUUUUUUAACAACCAAGUGAAUAUGCCAAAUGGUAACUUGGAUCCACAGAAAAAGCAAAGAGAACCAGUAAAGGUAAAGAUAAUUAUAUAAUGGUAAGACUAUAAAUGCAUUUUUCCUUAACAUGAAUGAAUUAAACAGUUUAUUAAAAAGGCAGAGAUUGUCAGAAAACCUGUGUAAAAACAAGCAAACAAACAAAAACAAAAAAUAAGACCCAACUAUAUGCUGUCCACAGGAGAUACACCUUUUAUUCAAAGAUACAAAUAGACUGACAGUAAAAGGAUGAGAAAAGGUACAUCAUUCAAACAGCAGCCACAAGAAAGCUGGAGUGGCUAUACUAAUCUCAUACAAAAUAGACAUAACAAAAAAUUCCUAGAGACAUUUUAUAACUAUAGAAGGGUCAAUCUAUCAGGAAAAGCUAACAAUUACAAAUAUGUAUGCACCCAACAACAAAACACUACAAUACACAAAGCACACAACUGACAGAAAUAAGAGUUGGAGACUUCAAUGUCUCACUUUCUAUAAUGAAUAACCAAGCAGAAAAUCAACUAGGAAAUAAAAGAUAUAACAUUAUAAACAACUAGACCUAACAAACAUCUAUAAAACACUCCACACAACAAGAAAGUAUACAUUCUUCUCAACUGCACAUAGAACAUUCUCUAGAACACACCACCAUAUGCUAGGCUAUAAAGCAAACCUCUCUAAAUUUAAAAGGAUAUAAUACAUAAAUUAUGUUCUCCUACACAAUAGAAUGAAAUUAGGAAUUGAUAUAGUUUGAAUUUUUGUUCACUCCAAAACUCAUACUAAAAGUUAAUUCCCAUUUUGAAGGUGUCGGGAGGUGGGAACUUUAAGAGGUGUUUGGGUCAUGAGGGUUAUGUGCUCAUUAAUGGGUUAAUGCCAUUAUCACAGAAAUGUGUUCAUUAUCACAGGAGGAGUACUGUUAUAAAAGGGCAGGUCUGGCCUCCCCUUGCUCUCUCUUGCCUUUCCACCUCCCACCAUGGGAUGAUGCAGCACAAGGGUCCUGCCAGAUGCUGCCCCCUCAUUCUUCGAUUUCCCAGCCUCCAGAGCUGUGCUAAAUAAAUUUCUGUUCAUUAUUAAAUACCCAGUCUUAAGUAUUUUGUUAUAGCAGGACAAAUUGGAAUAAGACAGAAAUCAACAGGAAAAAAUUUGGAAAACUCCCAAGCAUAUGGAAAUUGAGCAGCACUCUACUAAAUAACCAAUGGAUCAGAGGAAAACAAAAGGGAAAUAAAAAAAUACCCUGACAUAAAUGAAAAUGAAGACACAACAUAUCAAAAUUUAUGGAAUGAAGCUGAAGCAGUGUUAAAUGUCUAGCUGCACAUGCGUAUAAUAAGAAAGAAGAAAAAUUUCAAAUCAUUAACCUAGUUUUAUCCUGGAAAAAGAAGAGUAAACUAAACCUAAAGAAAGCAGAAGAAAGAAAAGAUAAAUAUUAGAAUGGAAAUUAAUGAAACAGAUAUUGAAAAGCACAAGAGAAAAACAAUAAAACCAAAAACUGAAAAGAUUUUUAAAAAUUAACAAAACUGUAGCUAGGCUAAGAAAAAAGAGAAGACUCAAAUUACUAGAAUCAGAAAUAAAAAAGGGCAUUACUACAGAUCUUACAGAAAUAACAAAGGAUGAUAAAGAAGUAGUAUGAACAAUCGCAUGCCAAUACAUUAGGUAACUUAGAUGAAAUGGAUACAUUCCUAGAAAGACACAAACUACCAAACCCCACUUAAGAUCAGGCAAUCUGAACAGACUUAUAACAAGCAAAAAUACUGAAUAAGCAGUAAAACACCAUACCCACCCAGAC
rnacentral:lncRNA from 1 species